rnacentral:lncRNA from 14 species
CCCCAGUGUCUCCCAUUUGCCCAGCCCCGGGUGUUGCAGUCUCUCUCCCACUGUCCCCCUGUUGCCUCCGUUACCACCGUCCCAGUGUUCCUGACUUGCCCCUGGCUGGUGUCCCAGUGCCCCCAGUUGCCCCCCCCCCGUGUCCCAGUCCCCUGCCCCGCUGCCCCCCAUGGCCCCACGGCUGCGGUGUCCAUGCUGAUGUGGGGCCGCAGUGGGGGGCUCAGCAACCUGCUGUACAAGUGCUGGCUGCCGGAGCGAGUGCUGAGCGUGGGGGACGAGCCACGGCAGGUCCUGCUGCGCGUCUAUGGGGCCAUCCUGCAGGGCUUGGACUCGCUGGUGCUGCAGAGUGUGAUGUUCGCGGUGCUGGCAGAGCGGGCGCUGGGGCCGCGGCUCUUGGGGGUGUUCCCAGAGGGGCGUCUGGAGCAGUACAUCCCGAGCCGGCGCCUGCGCACCGAGGACCUGCGGGACCCCAACAUCUCCGGGGAGAUCGCGGUGAAGAUGUCCCGGUUCCAUGGCAUGGUGAUGCCCUUCAACAAGGAGCCCAAGUGGCUCUUCGGGACCAUGGAGCGGUGAGGGUGGCUCCUGACGCCUGGAAUCCGGUGGGAUCCAGGGACACAGGAGGUGGUGGGAGGCAGCAUCCAGGGGUGUCCAUCCAACCACCGCACUCAUCUCCCACCUGCAGGUACCUGAGGCAGAUCUCGGAGCUCAGCUUCCCCCAGGCAGAGCAGCUGAGGAAGCUGAAGCAGCUCAGGAUGUACAACCUGGAGGCAGAGAUGAGGAGCCUCCGGUGAGCAGCACUGCACUGAUCCUGUCUCAUUGCUGAGCUCCUCACAGGAGCCAGGGGGGACCCGGCUGCUCUGGACCUGGUCUGUUCCAUCCAUGUCCUUGGUGGAUGUCACCAUGGGACAGUCUUGGAAGGGUCCCUGCAUCCCUGGGGCAGGGUCUCUGCCAUGGUAGAUAUGAGGCAGAAGCAGCUGCUUCAGUGGAAGAGGUCCCUGCC